rnacentral:misc_RNA from 1 species
UUCUUGUUUCCUCUCUCCUCUCUCCUCUCUCCUACGAGGGUAACCCUCCAUACCCAUUAAAACUCCAUAUCUUGUCAAGGAAGGAUUUGAUCAUAGUGUCUCUUUAAUAGAUCACAAUGGAGCUUAAUGGAAUAAAAUUCUUAUUCACUGUUCUAUGCAUUUCAUAACUUUCCAUUAUAAUUUACCAAACAUGCUCUUAGUCUCAAUUUUUUUUCUAUAAAUAAAACAAUGUGGAGAUUGGAAGCAUAGAUUGCUUAUAAAUACCACAUAUAUGAGGACAAACAGGAAUAUAUUGAUUGAGAAUGAUGGGCAAGCUACAUUCAUAUACCUAUAAUUUCCACACGCGCUCACACAGACAAAAACUUCAAAAUUACAUUUGGAGAAUAUAACAUGCUUAUUAAAAGAUGGUCACUCGAAAGACAUUCUCCAAACGUUCCCUUUUAUUUCUAUUCUAACUAUCUGCAUCCGAAUCCACAAUUAAGCAUGCAACACCAGCCAUAAAAUUGAUUGGAA